rnacentral:rRNA from 1 species
AUUGAACGCUGGCGGCAGGCUUAACACAUGCAAGUCGAGCGGUAGCACAAGAGAGCUUGCUCUCUGGGUGACGAGCGGCGGACGGGUGAGUAAUGUCUGGGAAACUGCCUGAUGGAGGGGGAUAACUACUGGAAACGGUAGCUAAUACCGCAUAACGUCGCAAGACCAAAGAGGGGGACCUUCGGGCCUCUUGCCAUCAGAUGUGCCCAGAUGGGAUUAGCUAGUAGGUGGGGUAAUGGCUCACCUAGGCGACGAUCCCUAGCUGGUCUGAGAGGAUGACCAGCCACACUGGAACUGAGACACGGUCCAGACUCCUACGGGAGGCAGCAGUGGGGAAUAUUGCACAAUGGGCGCAAGCCUGAUGCAGCCAUGCCGCGUGUGUGAAGAAGGCCUUCGGGUUGUAAAGCACUUUCAGCGAGGAGGAAGGUGGUGAGCUUAAUACGCUCAUCAAUUGACGUUACUCGCAGAAGAAGCACCGGCUAACUCCGUGCCAGCAGCCGCGGUAAUACGGAGGGUGCAAGCGUUAAUCGGAAUUACUGGGCGUAAAGCGCACGCAGGCG